rnacentral:lncRNA from 1 species
AAUUCUAAGAAAGUAAUUAAAAUAAAGAUAUAAUUGUAUAUGUAAUGCACACAUACAGGGAUUAUAUAUAUUCUAUGUGAAGUGAAGUCACUCAAUCUUGUCUGACUCUUUGCGGCCCCACAGACUGUAGCCUACCAGGCUCCUCCGUCCAUGGGAUUUUCAGGCAAUAGUACUGGAGUGGGUUGCCAUUUCCUUCUCCAGGGGAUNNNNNNNNNNNNNNNNNNNNNNNNNNNUCUCCUGCAUUGCAGACAGACCCUUUACCCUCUGAGCCAUCAGGGAAGUCUAUAGUGAAUAUGUUAAGAAUAUGUAUUAGCUGUAUAUAUAGGAUAUAUGUGUGGAAUAUACACAUAUGGAAUUUGUAUGUAUGUGAAAUAUAUAUGUAUGUAUGUGAACAUAUUUAUGUUAAAUGCAUGUAUAUGUGUACAUACAUAAUCUUCAAACGCAUCUAUAUCGGAACCCCAGGUUACAAGUUUACAAACGGAUGCUAUUCUAUUCUUAGCGUAGCAUUGAUUUGAAAUUUGAGUCUCUCUGAUUUUUCCUACUAACAUGGGAUUGUUAACUGAGAAAACCGAAAACCCAGUUUAAAACCUGACCUCAAACCCUCAGGAAAUAGCUUUUCAUUCAGUCCUCCCUGUCUUCAUCACGCUUGUGUGCUUUGAAAAUUAGAAUGCUAAUUUUUUUUAAUUACUUCUAUAUUGCAUUUUGCUUGAUGUGAUAAUGGGGAAAGUAGAAAGAGGAGUUGAAUAAGAACUACUUCUAGACUUACCGUGCAUACCAGAUAAAUCAUUAUCAAUACCAACAAACUCACCAAUAAGGGUCAUUUGUGAAAAAAAAANNNNNNNNNNNNNNNNNNNNNNNNNNNNNNNNNNNNNNNNGCUAAUUGUGAGUCUUUACUCACCAGUGAUUAGCUCUCACAUGGCUGUAGUUACAGAACCAUGUGUUGCCUGGAGUUCCCAAAUUCACUGGCCUUUGUUCUUCCUUUAACAGCUUCCCUGGCAUUUGACAAGCCUUUACUUCAGCCAGCAGUGGUGAUACCAAAGCUUGAAAAACAUCACCCUUCAGAAGUACUCCACCUUCAAGCUGACAACGAACAGACUGAACUGGCAACUGAAAAUCUGAACAAGAGGAGCUGUUACGGCAAAGCAGUUGUGGGCCCUGACAACCACUCAACAACCACAGAGCACGCCAGGGUUAGCGCACUCUCUCGCUAGACGGAGAAACGUGUCAGUCUUCAGAAUGACUUCUUCCCAAACCGAGCAACCUCAGGCUUUCUUAAAUGUGAAGCUUCUGAAGAACUCCUCAUGAAGUUGUGCUAAUGCACAGUGAAGCUCAUUCGUUAAGUCUGCACGAACCUGACAGACAUUAUACUUCAAAUAAUUACUGCCUACUGCGUUACCUUUGUCCUUUGUGAGCUUAAAUUUCACCUGUCAACAGCAGUCACUCUGGAGUGUGAUAUUUGUACAUAUAAAAGUCUCGCCUUGGCAAGUGUGUAGUUGAAAGGUAAGGCCUUAAGCCACGAACUUCUGUACUUUUGUUUGCUUCAUUGAUUGCCUGUUUUUUCCACAGAGGUUUAAGGUUAAUGUUCAUUGUGUGAUUUUUGUGUUUGUUGUAAUUAAAGUAUUUUCUUUUACUAAUGCAAUAUAAAUCACUGUUCAGUUCAGUUCAGUCACUCAGUUGUGUCCAACUCUUCGCAACCCCAUGAAUUGCAGCACACCAGGCUUCCCUGUUCAUCACCAACUCCCGGAGUUCACUCAAAUUCACGUCCAUCGAGUCAGUGA